AAAAAAUUUUGUUGCAAAAAAAUGUACAAAAUUAAAGAAGGGUAUUUUUGUAAACAAAUAUUUCCUUUUAAGAUGUAUUAUUUCUUAUACAUCAAACCAAACAAUAUAUAAGAAAUAAUACAUGCAUAACUAAUACAAACAUAAGUAAUACAAACAUUACCAAUACAUUAUAUUUUGCAUUGAUCUUAUACACUUUAUCAAACGAUCCCUAGGAGAGCUAAAUCCCACAUCAAAAAUCAAAACACUCCUGACAAAGAUGAUUCUAUACUCAAGACUCAAAUUCGAGACCUCCUGACAAAGACUAUUCUAUACUCAAGACUCGAACUAGAAAUAUUCUGACAAAGAUGAUUCUAUAUUGAAAACCUCUUGACAAAGAUGAUUCUAUAUACUCAAACUCAAAAUCUCUUGACAAAGACGAUACUAUACUCAAGACUCGAAUCCAAGACCUUCUGACAAAGAGAAUUUUAUACUCAAGGCUUCGAUCAAAUUUCUUCUAACAAAGAUGACUUUAUAUUCAGAAUUCGAACCCGAGAUGGAGUAGAUUUGUAGAUGAGUGAAGACUAUUGAAGUUUUGAAUUGGUCAGCACUCAAACACAUUAGGACUUUCUUCAUAUUAUGACCAAAGACCAGUCCAAGUAGAAUAACUCGUUUUCCUCAGUCAACUUUCAAACUCCAUUUUUUUCCUUGCAUUUUAUUAUUAUUACACCAUAAAUCCUUCCUUUUUAAAUCAAAAAGAAAAUAACAAUACAAAAAAUGAAAAAGGAAAAUAACAAUACAAAAAAUGAGAUGGAGUAUUUUAUUUAUUUUUUUGUCAAGAAUGUGGAGCCUCUGAUAAUUUAGGGCCAUAUUAAGAAAAUAAUAUUUUAUGGUCCACUUGAUAUAAAAUACAUAAAAUUGGAUUAUGUGGGCAGUGCAGUACAUUAAUAUGGGGUAAGGUGGCAUUAUUUUAUUGUCAAUGAGUAGCAGUAAAAUCCACCGGAAAUUUCUUUACUCGUAUGACUUUUUACGCAAUUAUCAUACAAUAAUUGUAUGAUGGUCAACAAGAUUAAAAAGAUAUGAUGACCUUUUGAGUACUAAUAUCAUACAAUAUCCUUUUAUAAUUUUUCUACAGAAUUUUGAAUUAUUUUACGGUUCCUUUUAU
rnacentral:lncRNA from 1 species